ACCGCUUUUGUAUCGAAUGAUGUCUUCGUUUAAUAAAUGUCCUGAAAAGGAUUCAAAUUUCAGAGCUGCAAUCACCAGUAACGUUCCAAGCCUGCGGCUAUCAGCUUUGUCAGUAUGAAAAUGUGGAGGGUGACCAACAAGCUUAGACUUGUAUCUUAUUUGAAUGCUGUGAUUAUCCAGCGCAGUUUUGGCUCCCCGGGGAGGAAGGUGUGUAGCCAAUUCUGUGCGCGCACAUGUGCACAAGUGUUUGUGGCAUAGAAAGUCUAUCAUGUUGCCAGUUGUUUGUAUUUCAGAGCACCUAAUUAUAUCAUGGGAGAUGGAGACCAGUGCCUGCUCGGGAUGGAUUGGAUUGGCAGGCCGGAGACGCUCAUAAUGGGAUGUGACUGAUCUCUGGGUGAAUGGAAGAUGAAACGUUGACGGUCUCUUAGGUGCCAAGCCCUCUCCUUGAUACUGGGAGACUUGAAGAUGCAGUCUGCAGUUUCAUUUUUGGUUUUGAUUUUCUGCGUUUGAUGAUCUCCAGACUGCAGCUGGCCAGAGGGUUCACAGCAGACAGGGGAUGGACUCUCUCCAUACUCAACCACUAUCUUGGGCCUUCACACAGAUUUCCCCCCAACUGGCCCCUGUUCAUCAUAAUGUGUUACCAAGGAACUAAUUUUGUGGAAAAAAAUGAUUCUAGGACUCAAAAUGGGCUCCUGUUCAUCAUAAUGUGUUACCAGGAACUAAUUUUGUGGAAAAAAAAUGAUUCUAGGACUCAAAAUUGAGAGUUUCAAGUUUCAAAUUCCUGUGUGUGUGUGUGUGUGUGUGUGUGUGACUCGUUUCCUCUUCUGUGCAUCACUUUGGAUAAAAGCUACUAAUUACAAUAGUACAGUGUGAUUAUGCUACAAAUUCCUUGAAGAGGCAGGGCAUUAAAAGUGGCAAUUUAAUGAGAUCCAUUAG